rnacentral:misc_RNA from 1 species
GAAACCGUUACACGCUCAGCAAGCGCAACCAAAAAACCGAAAAAGAAUCCUCGUAACUUUCCAAAAUGUGCAACGCGCGUGAAAAUUCGUCCUUAGCGCGGCGUGAAAAAUAUGCGAGCACAACAGUAACAGUAAUGACAUUGAAAUGGCGACAGAAAUACAAAAGCAGAAAAAGGCCAAAGAAACUGAAACAACGAAUACUUGCAACAAACACUGCCCCAGCAACAGCAACAGUAACAGUAACACCAACUGCAACAACAAAAGCAACAUUAAACAGCAGACUGAGAGAAACGAGGAGCAAUCAGAAGAAGAAGCAACAACACACAAAAUGGCUGCCAAAUGAGCGACAACGAAGUGUCGCAAAAAUGUUGCAAGUUCUGCAAAAGGCACAUCCAACACAAUGUCACGCAAUUAAAGCAACAGGAAGAGCAGCAACAUCCACAAUGACUUCCAGCUGGUUGCAACACCAGCAGCAACAGAAAAAGCAACUGCAACAGAUACAUCAGCGGCGACAUCCACUUCCGGCGCUGGCGCUGGCGUCGGCCUCGACGCCGACCCUUACGCUGCUGCUCUGCCUGGGCCUCAGCUUGGGCCUGGCCGCCACGGCAGCGGCAGCAGCUGGCUCGGGGGCAGGUACCGGAUCCGGAGCCGGAGCCGGAUCCGGGGCAACAGCUGGCUCCCCCUCCUCCCCAUCGUCCGGCCUUGGCAAACCUGCCAAUUUGCAAAUGGGUCCCAACUCCGCUCCGGCCGGCUGCUCCCUCGCCGAGUUCAGCUGCUCCAAUGGGCGGUGUGUACCGCUCAGCAAGUACUGCAACAACGCCAACGACUGCGGCGACGGCAGCGAUGAGCCGCGAUUUUGCACACGUUGUAAUCGCACCUACUACGGGGACAUCGGACAGACCUACGCCUUGGAGCUGCAUCGUCCCAAGCAGGACCGGGUGCCCUUUGUGUGUGUGCUCACGUUUACGGCGGCAGGAGGCCAGCACGGAGAUGUGGUGCAGGUCACUCUGGACAGCUUCACGAUUGGCAGGUUCACCUCGUACGUGCACGAGGGCUGUCCGGACGGAUACAUGCAGAUAGCGGAGUCGGCCCGGACCCCCAUCGGCGGCAUGUGGUGCGGCACAUCCUGGGGCCCCGUGCUCUUCUACAGCGAGACCCGCUCCCUCAUCUUCACCAUCAGGCUGAACAGACUGGCCAGGGACCAGAGCGGCUACAACUUUGACUUUCGCAUCAGAUACAAGGUCCUGUCCAGGGACAGUUCGGUGACCCGAUACGGUGGCAUUAAGCUGGCAGAGCUCGCCCAGUGGCACAAUCGCAGCAGCUUCCUCAGCCAGCAGCAGCAACAGCAGCAGGCCGGGGGCAUCCUAGAGGACUUCACCAACUCUAGUGGCGCUCGCUCGGAUCGGUACGGACAGGACUUUAGUCUGUUUAGUGCGUAUGCCAACAACAAGACCUUCAUGGACUCGCUGGAGAAGUCGCUGGCGAAGGACGAGCAAAACUACACUGAGCCCAAAUACUAUCUAGGUGACCUUAUUCCGGGGACCUACUGCUCCAGGAUCUUCAGCGACUGCGACAAGAAGGCCUGUCGCCUGCAGUCGCCCAACUUCCCCGGCAUCUAUCCCCGCAACCUCACCUGCUACUACGCAGUGCGACAGCACGACGUGCCCCACGGAAAGCACGCCCUGAUUCUAGUCAAGCAGCCCAAGGGCAAUCUGGUCUGGAUCUCCACCCAGGAAACGGCCACGGCGAACAAAAUGGCUCCGCCGCCCAGUGCCAGCGACAAGGAUAAGAAAUUCGAACCGAGGCUCAAAACAUGGAAUGACUGCGAUUACAUUCAGGAAAAUGUAAAGCCCAAAUGGAAAUCCACGGACUACGUGACCGUGUACGAUGGCUACACCACACGUGACCCCAUCAUAUUGAAGUUCUGCGGCGGCGGUCAGGCUGUGCCGGCGGCAGUUUCAAGUGGCCCGGAGCUUCUGGUCGAGUUCAGCACGUCUCCGUUUGGCACCUUCACCGGCACCUCCUCCCAGGUGCUGCCCCUCUACGGAUUCCAGCUGGAGGUGGAGGUUCAAUUCGUGGACAUCCAGAGUCCCACUUACUCAAAAAACAAGAAACCCUGCGAGUUCUGGAUUCGCGGAGCUGGACGUGGCAUCCUGGAGAAUCCCAAGCACUCGUUGGCUCCCAACUCCACCUGCCUGUACCAUCUGCAGGGCCUUGGGGUCUUCAAGACCUUCGACCACUUGAGUCUAUCCCGCCGGACGAGCAGCCAGUCGGGAAUGCAUCAACCCCUGUCCCGGUUCAAGGUCUGGAUAUCAGUUUUGAAGUUCAACCUGGAUCCGGAGUUCGGGCAGAUCGAUGAGACGUCGGUGGGGGCUAUUGGAGUGCUGCAGACCCAGGAGGAUUGCAGUGGCAUGCUACGCAUUUGGGAUGGAACACUCAGGGAUGCUCCUGUUUGCAAGGAUUUAAACUGUGCCAGUGAAACGACCAGCUACAGCAGCUUAGGACACUAUGCCACCCAAAAUACCACCAAUGUCAUUGCCCGCUUCUGCCGGGGCACCAUUCCCAGGACCUGUGAUCGCUCCAACAUCAAUGAGACCUACGCCCGACCCUGCUCCAUUUCCGAGAGCUAUGUCUCCAGUAGCGACGCCAUCACCUUGGAGCUGCGAAACACCGAAUCCACAGCACUUAGACCCCUGGAUUUCAAGCUGAAGUACGAGUUCAUCGACCUCCAUCAGGAUGGUCUGCCCUGGGGUGGCGGCGAACACGAUUGCAAUCGAAAGUUUCUCAGCAACAUGAUGGAUCGCAAGGAUCCUGCCAUUUUCCGGAGUGUUCGGAACAUAUUUUUAUUCGGAAGAGGCGGCACCCGGAACCUGAAAUGCAUCUACAAGUUCGAAGCACAGAGAGGCGAAAGGGUCAGGAUCAAGUUACGGAAAGUAACAACCACCAAUAGACCUUGUUACUCCAAAGUAGAUGAGGACAUCAACAGAUCCUUCUGCUAUGGAGACACUAAUGUUAGAAUAGAGAUCUUCGAGAGACCCUAUCAUGACUCCAUACUCUUGCAUCGUGGUUGCAUGUGCAACUCCUCCAACGAAUCCCACCUGCCCGUGGAGUAUACCUCCACAAGUCGCGACGUGGAGGUCCACUUCAUAGCCCAAAACAUGACCACCUUGGACGACCCGGACACGGUUAACUUUGAGGGGAUGUUUGAGUUUGUGAAGGCUCCCACCAGCUGCAAAGAUGGACGCCGGAAAUUUGGACCCAGCGGCACCAUAGACAUGACCUUUGGAGACAUUGAAUGCCGAUCAAGACCCUGGCUAAUUGAACCUUCCAACGGGAAUAAGUUCUUGUAUGUGCGUCUCAAGGCCAUUUUCCUGAGCAAACACAAUCCCCUGAAGACCCUGAAUACCACCUAUGUUCAUACCGAUACCUGGAGAUGUGAGACCAAGUCGAGGGCAGUGCUUACCACUUCGGAAGGUCUAACCAUUGUGGCCUGCCCUCUGAGUCCCGAUUCGAGUGCUUAUGAGUACGUGGAGAUCUUCAGCUCGGGUUGGAAUGAAAGACCCAACUUUGCGCUCAUCAACCGAUCUCGUGCCAUCAGCGUGGAGUUCCUGCGUCCCGGCAAUGGGGAGUACUCCUUCAACUGGAUGGAGCUAGUUCCCAGACCCACUCUCAGCAUGGCGGAGGACUGCCAGUUCAAGUGCGCCGAACUGGGCGCCUGUGUGAACGCCAGUGUCUGGUGCGAUGGCGUCGUCCACUGUCCGUCCGGCGAUGAUGAGGCCUUCCUCCAGUGCUCCGCCCUGAUGAAGCUACCAGCCGAAAUCCUGGCCACUCUUUGCCUAAUCUUUGUGCUCUCGUGUUGUGCAUUUGCUGCCUUUGCUUACAAAAAAAUCAAACGCAAGCUGCGCGGCUCCUCGGUGCUGCAGACGCGGCUGAAGUCGCUCAGCUCCAUGGACACGGCGGUGUUGGAUGAAAAGGAGGUGAUUUGCUGACAAAGCGACAAUUCUGUGCGUUAUGUGGAGAUCGAUCGUGUCACCACGGUCUGAUGCUCGACGACCAGUAACGUGCAGAAUUGUGCCCCGGAACAGACACCGCCACAACAAGAAUACCAAGAAACAGAAACAGAAAUCACAACCACAACUAACGCGACUGCGAAACGCAACAAUGAAACAAUGAUCAAGAAACCAAACAAACAAAAAGGCAACACUUUUUCGAAAUCAAAACCAAAAUCAAAAUCGUUCACCUGUUUUUUAAACUGCAUUUAUAAGAAAGUUAAUGAUGAUGAUGAGAAGGAGCAGGAUAUCGUGCAGGACUCCACUAGAGUUUGCAGGAUUUCAUUGAUUCUAUUUCGUAUCGACCUCUAUUUUAUAGAUCACAAGACUCGAAUGACUCGGAUGAUGUUCUUUUUUAGUGUCGCGCAAUUUUAUAAGCAAUUUUCUAGGCCUAGGGUUUUUCGUAUGUAUUUUCGAUAUGAUUUCCCGAUAUGAACUCGACCCAAACAAUCACACACUGUACAUACGAACGAUUGCGUAACACGAAAGGACAGUAACGAGAACGAGAACAAGGACCAGGACCAGAAACAGGACUUAUUCUGACUAGUUAAAACUUCCAUUAGGUUCGUUUCUUUGGUUCUUACAGAGUACUCAUAGACCUAUGUAGAUACAACUGUUUCCUAAUAGCCUUUAAGUGUAUCGUACUAUGCUAAUCAAACUGACUAAAAGAAAGGAAAGGAUGAAAGGAUCAUAGGAUCUUAGGAUCAAAGGAUCAGAGGAUAGAUUUUUUCGGGGAACGUUUCAGAAACUCCCACAGCAUUUAUUAUGCGGCGCACAAAACCAAGAAUAAGACGAGGAUUAAACCAAUUAAUAAAAAAGAUGAGAAGCUGGAAGUUGAACCGACAAUUGCAGGCGUAGAUCAAAAAAGCCGUCGUUGAGACCAAGAUCUAAGGAUCGGGGAUCCAACCAAAAAAGCAAAGCAAAGCGGGAGCCCAACCGGGCGACCAAAUGGAGGGAGCAGGGAUCAGGGACUCCGAAAGACAACACAACACAGUGUGCAAGUGUGAAUCGGUUGAAAUGCAAUUUUUGUUGAUACUCUUCCUUCGUUUAAGA